rnacentral:lncRNA from 1 species
UGCCUGUAGAACGUUGAGGAUUUGGAGAAGGGUGCGGGGCUGUGCCGAGACAGGGGGUUGGGAGUAGGGCACGCCGAGUGGCUCAGGGAUGUUGUCCUCAAGCCCUGCCCGUAGGCAGGCUGGUAGGUCAGGCUGCUGGCUCCCAAGGGCAUGGGGGACUGCCGGGCGAAGCCCAGCGGGCUGUGCCUCUGGAUGGAGAACUUGGGAGCGUGGCUCCGGAACUGCUUGUAGUGCUGGAUGAUGUCAGCGUCAGAGGGCGCGAUGCUGCUGGCGUUGUCGAUGUCGUAGUGCUCGAUCUCGGGCUCGGGGGAUGCCAGCGGGGCGCUGGGGAUCGUCUCCGUGGCGUGUGGGAUGUCCGUCUCGUCGUAGAUGAGAUAAGGGUUUUCCCUUUCGAUGAUGUCGGGUUUCGGGUUCCCUUCGGGCUGCUUCCUGACGGUCAUGUCAUCACCGUAGGGCGGGAUGUUGUCAGGGUCAUCAAACGCCACAUUCUCGCUCCCUUUCUUCUUCUUCUUCUGCUUCGUUUUCUUCUCCUCUUUCGGCCCCUUCGACUUCUUCCCUCGGCACUGGUUGCAGAGGAUGAGGCUGAGGACCAGCAGCGCCAGGAGCGUGGCGCAGCUACCCACGAUGGCCGGCACGGCCCAGAGCGGCAAGGACAGCUCGGCGGCGUGUGCGGACGGCAGGCACACGUGGCCGCCGUCGACGCCCGCCCUACACUCGUGGCCGGGAGCACACAGGACCCCCAGGCAGGCCACCAGGGUCUCACACGUGCGUCCCGCGUACGCCUCGGGGCAGCUGCAGGUGAAGGUGGCGUGGGGCCCGGGCUCGCAGCUGCCCCCGUUGAGGCAGGGGUGAGAGGCGCAGGCGCCCGGGGGCACGCACUGGUAGGCGAACCAGCGGUUGAUGCACAUCAGCUCGCCCCAGCACGGAUUGCUGGCGCACACGUCGGGGCCGCGGCAGCCCAUCUUCACCGAGGGGUCUGUUCUGGACAGCGUGGCGAGGCUGUGCUUGCCGGAGAAGGGAAGGCUCUCCCCGCCGUACUUGAUGUAGG